rnacentral:lncRNA from 1 species
UCCUUGAAGCUCUUGAAGAGCCAUGGCCAAGAGCCAUGGCCUCCCUCUUCUCCAAGCCGCCACCUCUCUCUUUUUCUCCUCUAGGUUGCAAGUAGAAGUGAAUGAUUGUUGUUUUGGGUCAUUAGGUUGAGCAUUUAAUAGCUGAAAUUUGUCCAAAAUUCGUGUCUGGCGCUGCGGCGCCAUGAUUUGGCUUGAACGGGGCGCUGCGGCGCGAAAAAGGGGCUAGGCUACUGCUAAGUGGCGCUGCGGCGCCGCAAAUACACUAGCAAGUCGCGCUGCAGCGCCGGGCCAUUUUUUGCUUGGACAUCUGUUGGGAAAAUGGCCAUAACUUCUUUAUACGAACUCCGAUUGAGGCGAUUCAAGAUGAUCCGGAAAGAGGAGAAGUAGAUCUACAACUUUCAUUCUUUGAGGUCUUCGAAAUAAUGGCUAGAGCAAUGCUCAAAUUGGACUUGAAGUGACUGCUAUGCAAAUAGCAAUUGGUAGUUUCCAGAUUUGACACCUGUUGGGAAAAUG